GUUAAGCGACUAAGCGUACACGGUGGAUGCCCUGGCAGUCAGAGGCGAUGAAGGACGUGCUAAUCUGCGAUAAGCGUCGGUAAGGUGAUAUGAACCGUUAUAACCGGCGAUUUCCGAAUGGGGAAACCCAGUGUGUUUCGACACACUAUCAUUAACUGAAUCCAUAGGUUAAUGAGGCGAACCGGGGGAACUGAAACAUCUAAGUACCCCGAGGAAAAGAAAUCAACCGAGAUUCCCCCAGUAGCGGCGAGCGAACGGGGAGCAGCCCAGAGCCUGAAUCAGUGUGUGUGUUAGUGGAAGCGUCUGGAAAGGCGCGCGAUACAGGGUGACAGCCCCGUACACAAAAAUGCACAUGCUGUGAGCUCGAUGAGUAGGGCGGGACACGUGGUAUCCUGUCUGAAUAUGGGGGGACCAUCCUCCAAGGCUAAAUACUCCUGACUGACCGAUAGUGAACCAGUACCGUGAGGGAAAGGCGAAAAGAACCCCGGCGAGGGGAGUGAAAAAGAACCUGAAACCGUGUACGUACAAGCAGUGGGAGCACGCUUAGGCGUGUGACUGCGUACCUUUUGUAUAAUGGGUCAGCGACUUAUAUUCUGUAGCAAGGUUAACCGAAUAGGGGAGCCGAAGGGAAACCGAGUCUUAACUGGGCGUUAAGUUGCAGGGUAUAGACCCGAAACCCGGUGAUCUAGCCAUGGGCAGGUUGAAGGUUGGGUAACACUAACUGGAGGACCGAACCGACUAAUGUUGAAAAAUUAGCGGAUGACUUGUGGCUGGGGGUGAAAGGCCAAUCAAACCGGGAGAUAGCUGGUUCUCCCCGAAAGCUAUUUAGGUAGCGCCUCGUGAAUUCAUCUCCGGGGGUAGAGCACUGUUUCGGCAAGGGGGUCAUCCCGACUUACCAACCCGAUGCAAACUGCGAAUACCGGAGAAUGUUAUCACGGGAGACACACGGCGGGUGCUAACGUCCGUCGUGAAGAGGGAAACAACCCAGACCGCCAGCUAAGGUCCCAAAGUCAUGGUUAAGUGGGAAACGAUGUGGGAAGGCCCAGACAGCCAGGAUGUUGGCUUAGAAGCAGCCAUCAUUUAAAGAAAGCGUAAUAGCUCACUGGUCGAGUCGGCCUGCGCGGAAGAUGUAACGGGGCUAAACCAUGCACCGAAGCUGCGGCAGCGACGCUGAUGCGUUGUUGGGUAGGGGAGCGUUCUGUAAGCCUGCGAAGGUGUGCUGUGAGGCAUGCUGGAGGUAUCAGAAGUGCGAAUGCUGACAUAAGUAACGAUAAAGCGGGUGAAAAGCCCGCUCGCCGGAAGACCAAGGGUUCCUGUCCAACGUUAAUCGGGGCAGGGUGAGUCGACCCCUAAGGCGAGGCCGAAAGGCGUAGUCGAUGGGAAACAGGUUAAUAUUCCUGUACUUGGUGUUACUGCGAAGGGGGGACGGAGAAGGCUAUGUUGGCCGGGCGACGGUUGUCCCGGUUUAAGCGUGUAGGCUGGUUUUCCAGGCAAAUCCGGAAAAUCAAGGCUGAGGCGUGAUGACGAGGCACUACGGUGCUGAAGCAACAAAUGCCCUGCUUCCAGGAAAAGCCUCUAAGCAUCAGGUAACAUCAAAUCGUACCCCAAACCGACACAGGUGGUCAGGUAGAGAAUACCAAGGCGCUUGAGAGAACUCGGGUGAAGGAACUAGGCAAAAUGGUGCCGUAACUUCGGGAGAAGGCACGCUGAUAUGUAGGUGAAGUCCCUUGCGGAUGGAGCUGAAAUCAGUCGAAGAUACCAGCUGGCUGCAACUGUUUAUUAAAAACACAGCACUGUGCAAACACGAAAGUGGACGUAUACGGUGUGACGCCUGCCCGGUGCCGGAAGGUUAAUUGAUGGGGUCAGCGCAAGCGAAGCUCUUGAUCGAAGCCCCGGUAAACGGCGGCCGUAACUAUAACGGUCCUAAGGUAGCGAAAUUCCUUGUCGGGUAAGUUCCGACCUGCACGAAUGGCGUAAUGAUGGCCAGGCUGUCUCCACCCGAGACUCAGUGAAAUUGAACUCGCUGUGAAGAUGCAGUGUACCCGCGGCAAGACGGAAAGACCCCGUGAACCUUUACUAUAGCUUGACACUGAACAUUGAGCCUUGAUGUGUAGGAUAGGUGGGAGGCUUAGAAGUGUGGACGCCAGUCUGCAUGGAGCCGACCUUGAAAUACCACCCUUUAAUGUUUGAUGUUCUAACGUUGACCCGUAAUCCGGGUUGCGGACAGUGUCUGGUGGGUAGUUUGACUGGGGCGGUCUCCUCCUAAAGAGUAACGGAGGAGCACGAAGGUUGGCUAAUCCUGGUCGGACAUCAGGAGGUUAGUGCAAUGGCAUAAGCCAGCUUGACUGCGAGCGUGACGGCGCGAGCAGGUGCGAAAGCAGGUCAUAGUGAUCCGGUGGUUCUGAAUGGAAGGGCCAUCGCUCAACGGAUAAAAGGUACUCCGGGGAUAACAGGCUGAUACCGCCCAAGAGUUCAUAUCGACGGCGGUGUUUGGCACCUCGAUGUCGGCUCAUCACAUCCUGGGGCUGAAGUAGGUCCCAAGGGUAUGGCUGUUCGCCAUUUAAAGUGGUACGCGAGCUGGGUUUAGAACGUCGUGAGACAGUUCGGUCCCUAUCUGCCGUGGGCGCUGGAGAACUGAGGGGGGCUGCUCCUAGUACGAGAGGACCGGAGUGGACGCAUCACUGGUGUUCGGGUUGUCAUGCCAAUGGCACUGCCCGGUAGCUAAAUGCGGAAGAGAUAAGUGCUGAAAGCAUCUAAGCACGAAACUUGCC
rnacentral:rRNA from 1 species